UACGCCGAGAGAGAUAAUGAUGAAAUCCAGUGUGGAUAGACUUUUUAUUCUCCUCCACAAGUCCACGCUAUGCCGCUUCCGGGAGAGAAUGAUGAAAUCUACGUGAUGCGCGGCUCCGGCAUUCCAGAUGACUUUGCCCAGUUUGGCAGUCCGAAGUGCACUCAACCGGAGAACUUGAAGAAGACAGCUUCUUUCCAAAAGGCCACUAAACUAAUCCAUAUUGUAGCGAAGUAGCAGAGUGGAUUGUUGGACAAAGUCGUGGAACAUUUGAGGUGGAUUAUUCCAAACUCAUUGUUGGAAUGUGCUCAUUGUGCAAUGAAAUGUCGAUUUUGUGAUCGAUUUAUUUUGACUGCUGCCCAGAUUUCAAAAUCUCUUAAGAGAUACAAUAUCUCUUGCUAUGCCUUCUAUUUCCCAAUUGUUAGCUUUCUGUGGCUGGCUGACGCAACAGACGGCAUUUGAGAAGUCACUUUCUAUGAUGAACUUUUUUAUCUGCUGCGUGUGUGCUUCUUGCACUCCAACGAAGGCUGCCAUGGCCUCCCCUUGCUUCGGAUUAGUGCUAGUACUUGUGAAUUUGGUUACCACAAAUCUCAUGGAUCCAUUGUGUGAUCUGAAAACUGUUGCAGCUAUGCUGCCUUCUUUUCUAACUGCUAUAUCAAAUGUGAUUGAGAAGAUAUCUUUUGAAGAGGGUGGAAUCCAUUUGGGAGUAGUUUCAACAUUUUUCCAUGUCUAAGCUUUACAGUGUUCCUUAUAGAUUUCUGAGGUAUUUUUGACUAAAUGACCUAUUAUUGGGAUUUUGAAAUCAUGAGGUAUUUGGUUUCUAGUGAACUAGAGAUUAUCCAUUGCUAGAACAACAAAAAUUUGGAAAUGAUGGGAUUCACUGACCGAAAAUUUUAACUAGUUUUGUAGGAUUCAAAAUCUGAUUUAUCUAGUUUUUGAUACCUACAUGUAGAAAAGAUGAGAUGUCCAAAGGCCAGGCACAUGGCCUUCACAAGAUUCUUGUAUAAGGACAAUUCAAGAAAAGAUGGUCAGUGGUUUCUACUUCUAAUUGGCAGAUUGGACAAUAUUUCUGGUCUUCUGUUAAAGAAAUACAGUUACUAAGUAAGAACUUAGCAGGCAAGACAUUAUUAGAAAUUUUUCAGAGUAGCAGCUUUAAACAAUCUUGCAUUUUUAAGGACCAAAGUUUUUUCCAAUCAAUGGUAGGAUGAGAUUCAUUUUGUUCAUUGGAUUGGAGAAUAAUUGCAGCAUCGGCUGAUUUAACAAAAAAUUUGCCUGAUGAAUGAUGAAUCCGUCUGGGGAAGUCAGAUUGAUUAUGAAAAUGAUAUUGAGUGAGAUGGAUUUUUUGGAUUUCAACUACUGAUUCUUGUGAGAACAGAGCUUGGAUGAGAAUAGUGUUCCAUCUCCUAGGUUCCUCUAAUGUAAGUUCUGAAACUCUCAAAUGAAGAUCUUUCACUAUAUUGGGAGACUAAGGUCCAGGAAUUGAUGAGUUUAGUGUGGGAAUACAGAGAUCAGACCAGACUCUAGUAUCAACCCCGUUGUUAAUAUGGAAGCAGACACUGAAACUUAUGAAAUUUCUUUGCUUAAUCAGACCUGUCUAGAAUCUGGAAUUUGUGGGUUUGGCAGUGACUGAUUGCCAUGAAAGAUUUGUCAGAUAUAUUUUGGACAAAGUUUUUUUCCAAAUGCUAUUUUCCGCACUCAUUAGGUGCCAACCUAGUUUGUUUAGCAAAGCUUUGUUAAAAUUAGCUGCUUAUCUAAGGCCUAGACCACUCAAUGAUUUAGGUUUACAGAUUGAUUUUUAGGAUUUUGGAGUAAAGUUGUGGGUUUUGUUAGGCUCAAAUCCCCACCAGAACCUCAUUAAAGCUCUAUAAAUCUGACUAUAAAUAUUUUUUGGGGGCCAUAUGGUGGACAUGGUGUAGGAGAGUAUAACACUAGCCACUAGUUUGAUGAGUGUAGUUCUACCAACUUGAGAUAAAAGCUUGGUUUUCCAGCCAGCUAAUUUGUCUUGAAUUCUAACCAAGAUCUCCUUGAAGUUAUGAUAAGGAUCCACAAUUAAGGGAAAGGCCCAGAUAUUUGAUCCUAGAGGAAGAUAUUUUAAGGUUGAGAAUUUCUCACUCCUCUAGUGAUGGUUGGUCUACUAUUUAUGUUGAAUUGAAUGAUGUAGGAUUUUGAAUGACUCCUUAAUACACAAAAAAACUUUUCAGUUUCUAUGCCCAAGAAUUCCCUAGUUUCUACUUUUCAAAAUAAUUUAUUAUAUUACAUCUAAAUUCAUUUGUCUUCAAGAUGAAAUUAGAUAAGAUGAGAUGUUUUGAGAUAAAAAUUAUGAAAAUUGAAUAAAAUAUUAUUAAAAUUUAUAUUUUUUAUUUUUUGAGAUUUUAAAAAGUUAAAUUGUUUAUUUUAUUUUAUAUAAAAAUUUGAAAAAUUUAUAAUGAUUAAAUGACAUGAGAUAAAAUGAGAUGAGUUAAGUAAUGUUAUGAAAACAAACAAGUGCUACAGCUACAAGGAGGUUUCACAAAAAAACCUUUUUGGCUUUUUAAAGGUCAUAACACUUUGCACUCUUUCAUUUAUAGCAUUCAAUAAACCAAAAACCCUUUUUGGUUUCUAACCCUAAAAGACUUUUACGUUUCUUUUAAAAAGACAGGAAAUUCUAAAGAUGAGUGACGUUACAGUCACAAUGUGCAUGGUCUCACAAAAGUAAACUCAUAAAUUGGAAUUACUUCGUAUAAUAUGUUAAAUCUAACUUAUAAUAAAAGUAAUUUUAUAAUAUAACGUACCGUAUUAAAUCAUAUUAAUUUAUGAGUUUAUUUUUGUAAAAUCUAUUUAUAAUUAAAGUACUUCUUAAUUUUAAAUGCUAAAAACAUUUUGUAUUCUUUUAUUUAUAUAUUCUUGGUACAUACUCACUCGUAGAUGAUUGGUGUCAGAAUUUUUUAUUGAUUAGGUGAGAUCAAUCUCAUCCACGUGAGAAUUAAGUCCACAUGAGAAUUAAUUCCUCUUCCGACUUGUCCCAAAUUGGGCGCUAUGGCCAAAAAUAUAAAGAACAAAACAAAAGGACAAACUUGUCCCAUAGUUACAAAAAUGAUGGCAUAUGAUCCAAUCUAGUAAUAUGCAAUCUGCCAAAAUCAACCAAAAUAAUCGUUGGUGAAUAUAGGCUUGUGCAUAAAAGGGCUUGGCCCGAUCAAUCUGAGACAUGGGCCCACCCAACUAAAGUUGGGUUCAACUAGUCAAACCCAAUAUUAGGUUUAUUAUACCUAAUAUCGGUCAAAACCGAUCACCUGAAGAAAAAGAACCAACACCCACUCAAUGCUCAGAGCUAUUCUCCAUUUCUCCUCGAGUCCUUAAAUCCCAACCUCUCUCCAAACAAGUUAAAUGCGAAGGCAUAGUCCAAUAAGGGGAAGAUAUUCCAAACACCUAGAGAGCUACUGAGCUAGAGCGUUAUAAAACGCUUGCUACAGCCAUGAAACAUCUUUCAACCUCUCAUUAGCAUAGAGAACUGCACAAGAGUUCCAAACCCCGUUUUAAUGUAUUCUCGUCUCAUGAUCUAAACACAUUCAUGCUCAAUCAGGUGCCCCCACUUUAACAGCACAUGCUACAAGGAAGAGGUGGUGCCGAUUUUGAUUCCAAUCCAUCAUCUUUCUCCUCACUUAAGUCAUCUUCAUUGAAGAGUAUGGGAAGGGGGAGUGGUUCUUGGGUAGGGAGGGGACGGAAUCGCCAAUGGUGGAGGGGUGGUGGCAUUUGGGGCAAGGGAUGGUGGGUUUGGGAGGGGCAGAGUAGGAGGAAGAUGAAGUAGAAAAGGAGGGAGGGUGAUGUGGGAGAGGCAGAGUUUGCAGAAGUAGUGACCACAUUGGAGCAAGAGUGGGGCGUGGGAGUCCUCCUCAUAUGGAGUUUGGCAAAUUAAGCAACUCAAGAUCUAGAUCUUCUUCUUUGAAUUCGAUGGAGAUUUCUUUGGCAUGGAGCUUGGUUGAUGGAAUCGGAAUGGUUGUGAAAAAUGAAAGACUUUUAUGGUUGGGAUAGAACUUUGAAGAAAAAGAAAUCUGGGGAGACGAAGGGGGAGGGAGGAUCAAAAGCAAAGUAAGGAGAAUGGGUUUUACUCGAUCCGAAAUUUGCAGGUCGGCUCAGGUCAGGUCAGGUCGAGUUGGUGUGGCCUUCCCUACAAGCCGGGCUAGGACGGGUUGGACCCAAAGUAUGGUUUGGGUGGGUCAGUGUGCAGGCCUAGGUGAAUAGGACAAAACUACUUGAGCUACACACACUUUUAAAGAAAGCUAAUCAUAUUUUCUUUAUUAGGUUGACAUAUUUAAAAAAAAAAAAAAAAAAAAAAGGCCUCUUUAAUAGAUCUUGUCUUUUUUUGGUUGAACCACGUCAUCCAUUAUAUUCAUACGUUAAAUGGCAAAAAAAAUUUUAAAAAUUAGAAAAUUCUUAAAAUUUUAAAUGUCAAAAACACAUCUUUAUUUAUUUGUAAUAUUUUGUCUUCUAUGUCUCUGGGGCGCAUACAUGUAUAUAUAUAUAUAUAUUCAGUUUCAUACUCGUUACUUGUGUUGGAGAUAUUAUGAUCUUGAUUUGAUAUUAUCUUGUAUGAUUUUUAUAAUUAUUAAAUUAAAGUUGAUUAGAAUACUAUCUAGAUUAAGUUGAUGUAUAUAAUUACUUUGAUUUGAAUAACUCUUUAUUUCACUUGGCCUCUUUCUCUAUAAAUAGAGAUCUACGCGCGCAUUGUAUUCAUGACAAAAAAUAAUGGAAAAGAUAUAAUCCUCAAAUUCUCUUUCACUCCUCUCUUUUCCAUCAUUUCUAUUCUCAAUAGGUAUGAAUACAUGCAAGGAAUGUAUAAUAAAAAGUUUCUUUUUUAUGUCAAAAAUGAUAUUUAUUCUUCUUCAGUACGUUUUCUUUCUUUCUUUCUUCCUUUUUUUUUUUUUUUUUUUUUUUUUUUUUUUUGUAUGAGAAAUCGAAGUGACUUGGAAAUGAUAUAAGAAUAUAGAUUUGAAACCAGCUUUUAGUUUUUUAAAUAAAGUUUCCUCAGUUUUUAAUUUUCCAAACCGUCUGUAUAUGGACAUAUACAUAUCAUGUGUGUGUGUGUAUAUAUAUAUAUAUUAUUCAGAUUUUUGAAAUUUCUACCUUAAUUUUUCGUUGUUUGGUUGUAUAUAUAUGUACGUAGGGAUUUUUAGGCUUCCUCAUCCGCAAUUUCAAUGGAUGUGUUGGAAUACCCCAGAUCAUGGGCAUAGAAGGUAGCGAAUGAGAUGAUCUAAUCUAAUCAUAUAUUCUUGGAAAAAAGAGAUCGAUCAGUUCUAAUAUAUAUAUAUAUAUAACCAUUGAUUGAUCCGCUUCAAACAUAGGCCUAAAGAUAGUUUGUUUCAAGUGACAUCUAAACCAAUCCAACCAAAAUGUGAAACUUAAAUUGUGCCACCUGCAUAUAUGUGAUGUAAUAGCCUAUAUAUCGAGGACAGUAGGAAUUUAAAGGAGGUUAUUACCCUAGAUGAGUAUAGAAUUAGGUUAACGGAAUUUGCCUUUUAUAAUGAUUUCAAACAACUUCAAUUAUAGCAAUGACUCGUACUUAUUAAUGUAGAGUAUGGGCCCAAUUAAUGUUGUUUAAGCUUUUCUCGAAUCCACUUUAUUAUCAACUAAAACAGGCUUGGAAAAUGAAUAUCUUCUCAUCACAGGCCCCAAAUAUAUAUGUGUGUGUGUAAUUUAAUUCAUGAAUAUCUGCAUCAACUUUUUCUUGGUAUAUUCUCUCUCUUCUCUAGGAAUAUCAGGGAAAGAUUAAUCUUUUCGUGUAGAGCUAGCUGUAAGACUUUUAGUAAAAUUCUAUGUCCUACACAUCCAUAUCCUAAUAGGUUUAAAUUAACUCAAAUAUUAUCACUUAAUUAAUGAGUCGCAGUAAGACGAGAAUACCUCUAUAUCUAGUCACAGUGUGAUUCGAAAUCUCUAGAAUAUUUUUUGAUAGCCAAAAGUCUACAAAUAGCACUAAGAGUGACCCUUCUCUCAUAAUCCAGUUAGAUUCUUUCUUGAACUGAGAUGGAUAAAGAUACAUUUUUUAACUGUUAUUAUUUUAUUUUCGUGGAUUAUAGAAAAUCAAAGAUUAUUAUAUUUAAUUUUUCAUGUUAAAAUAUUUAACACUAGCUAGCUAGCUGAAUGAGCGGUUAAGGCUACUGAAUGGGCGGUUAAGGAAGGAAAUAUGAGCUUACGUAUGAUAAUUGGUUUGGAAAGACCGGAUUUAUUGGCUUAAAAAGUCGGUGGUCAAACAAAAAGGUUCAAACUUAGGAGGUCACGUCUUCAUCUAGGUGGAAUUUACAGAAAUUACAAGAACAUCUAGGAUCAGAUUUGGCAUCUCAGAUUGAUGUUUUACCUUAUUGUUCUUAAUUAAAGGGCGGAAGAUAUACCUGUUUGGAUGGCUAAUUAAUAAGGAGGGGUCUAAUUUUAAGUUUUAUCUGCCAAGAUCUAGGUUUUUAUGUGGAGAUGUUUUCAUAAUAGAACUCUUCCCUUUUGAUUCUAAUGUACACUAGCUUAUCAUUUCGAUUGUCUUCUUAUGUGAUUGU